rnacentral:lncRNA from 1 species
CACGGUAGAUCACCGCCGUGACUUAUUCCCCUCUCGGCCGCCAGCGCAAUUCGUCCAAAUUAAGCAACACCGCUCACAGACUUUAUAAAUUGAGCACGCCAUGAGCUCUGUAGGGUAGUCAAGCACCAAGCCACCAAGCCGUGCCCUCAAUUGAUCACCAGAGCUCGCCAAUUUCCCAUUUCCCCCAAACCUGCUUUCCGCCACCGUGAAAGAGGCCUCGCCGUGGCCAUCUCAUCUUAGGUCCGCUCAUACCCUAUGUCCUUUCAUUUCAUUGUCCUUGUGUGCCCAUGAUGCUCCCCAACCCCGCCAAUUAGACUAGGACCCCUUAGAUCGCCGGGAACGCGUUUGAUUGUUCGUCGUGCCUGCUGCCACCGUGGACAGAGCAUGUUAGAGCGCCGUUAGUGAAAUUAGUUGAGGGGAAACUCUUGUUAGGGUUUGAAUUUGGUCUCAGCCAAAGUAGAGCACCGGUUGUUGCGGGAUCCGACCGAUACAAGCUCGCCGGAGCUCGGUUCCCCGCCGUUCGCCGUCGUGGACUGGGAUUGUGAAGAGAGGAAAGCGCAAGGGUGUUUCUGCAAGUGUCAGCGAGACAGAGGAAUAGUGGGAGGGACUCUUUAAAGAAUUUCAAAUCGUCAGGGCUCUCUGCGCAAAACCGACAGCGCGGGCGCGUUUCCGCCUGUAGAUGGGCCGACUUGGGCCAGUUCUGGUCCAGAACUGUUCAUGCUUUUUCCUUUUUCUUUUUCUGUCAGGGUUUAAGAAUUCCUAGAAAAUUAUAGAAAAAUGCUAGAAAUACCAGACCAAUUUUUCUAGACUUCUAAUUUCUUAUAGUAUUUAAUAAAAAUGGUUUCCUGGUUUUUAGUUCAAAUAGGGAAUUUUGGGGCAUUUAAGAUAACCAAAAUCCAUACUUCUCGAAUUUUAGAGAAUAAUUAAUAAUUCCAAAAUUCACCAAACUUUUUAGGUAAACUUUAAAUAUUAUUUAGAAGCCUUGGGUAAAGUUUGGUGUGAUUUGGACCAUGUUUGGUACUUAGAACCCAAAACCCUAGCCCCCAUGUGCCCUAUGAACUUCACUAUAGAAUCCGAAAACCCUAAUUUCCCGGAGAUCCAUGAAGGAAAGUUAUAUUCAAGACUUUAGAUAAUAUACUUUUAUUACCUUUGCAUUUUCAUGAGCAUCACAUGAGCAUUCAUGAUUAUAUAUGACUAUAUCUAGAGAACGAGGAGGAAAUAGAAGUUGAAGAAGCGAGGACUACACCACCACCACCUGAAGAACCUCAGGCAGGAAACUGAUUUUACUUUGAUAUCUGUAGAGCAGAGCCUGAUUCACCUAUCACUCAAGGCAAGCCCCGGUGCAUUUGCCACCUCCUUGCUAUUUUACAAUCCUUCUCACUUACUUGAUGCAUUAGGUGAUAGGAGUCAUGUGCUAAACCAAUUGCUGCAUUUCCUUCCUUGAAUUUGAUUACUUCUCCUUAAUCCCCUGUUUUACAAAAAGGUUUUUCUUAUGCUUAACUUUGCUCUAGAAAAACAAAAUGUUUUGUUUUGACAAAAGAUGAUGCUUCAAGUGGGUGGGAUGUUUUCAAAAAUAAAACUUGAUGGUGGAUCCAUCAUGACCAUGAUGGGUUCAACAUCGGAAAAGAUGUACCUCUGCCAGGUACCAAACUUUGGGUUUGAAAUGAUAAAAUUGAGACCGGGUGGGUGACUUGCACGAGAAGAGAGUCUCGGUGUAGUGUCUCCGUCUGAGUCGAUUAAGGACCUUGUCGAUGUAGGCUUGAUGAUCGAGGACCCUUUAACUGGUCACAUGCCUCGUCAUGGGUAAGCUUUGCCUCGGGCAGACUAAUACCAGAAUAAGAUAACACGCAAUGGGAGUGGAGAGAUGGUGAGAGUAGCGUGUACCCUCCGUGGCAAGAGACUGGACGGUGGUGUAUCUGUGCUCUCGGUUGGCGUGAACCUGAUCUGGUCUUAAGAACCCCAGUGGCGAGUUGACAUAUGCAAGGGUUAAGUGCUACAUAUGUCGUGUGAUUGGAGAUCCUCAGCUGAGUAUAAUCGAUUCAGAUCGCCGUAACUUCGCGGACAUGAAGACUUGGUCACUGCCCUACACGUAGCAUUCCAGUGAACAAGAAGGGUUGAAAAGAAAUUGGCUAGUAUAGGACAAGUGCUUGAACUAGGGUAGAAAGAACUCUAGAACACAUGUAAUGACUUAACUUGCUAAUAAAACUGGACUUUUAAGGAUCCAUUAUUAGUAAGCAUUUCUGCAAACGGAGUCAUUGAUUAUUGAAAAGCCAUACCUUGAUCCCCAACAGCCAGCAUACCCUUGAGAGUAUUUUAUUUUGACGGGUAAGACUUGCGAAAGUACAUUUCGUACUCAGGGCUUUGUCCCAUGUUGUUUUAGGUGAUGAAGCAGCAAACUUUUGUUGCUUCUGUUCCAAGGUGGUACCUAAAGAAGAAAAUCAAGACUGAAGCUGCGGGAGGAAGGGUCCUCCGUUAAGAAAAACUUUUUACUGUUUAUCGGGAGGGGUUUUUGCCUCCCAGGUUAUGUAAUAAUAUUACUCAGCACUCUUAUAUUUCGUUCUGAUCUAUAAUAAUACAACUCUUUCUUACUUUAAUAUAAAGUAAGUUAUUUUAAUUGCUUCCGCAUUUUCGUACCUCCGAUGUAUUGUAUUGUCUGCGUAGCGGGUGAAACGCUCUUGGGAAAGGUAAGGAAUACAGAUACCGAACUUGUCAAGUGAUCAGGGGCACCUGCAGGGUUGUCUGAGGUCCGUUGGACAAGGACGACUGUAGGUGGGCCUAAUGACUUGGGAGGUUUUGUCACAGCUGGUAUCAGAGCGAAGCCCAUCUCUGCAGAUGUUAUGAGACAUUUUCAAAAAGAAUUUUCAAAGACUUAUCUAGAAAAUUUCUUUCCUUCUUAUCUAACUACCUUCUAUACUUAAAGACCAGAUAGUAGAGUGCAAUGUAUAGAAGGUUGUGAAUCAACUAAGGUUGAUUCUGUAAUUAUACAUGCAUCAUACUAAAAACUAUGCUAAUAAGAUUUCCCCCCUCAUGGAGAUAUGCCACCAUGCACAAGAAAAACCGCGCGCAAGUCUACUGGAUCAAUUGGCGUACCUCGCCAUCAACUAGCUCCAAGGCAUGAGGACAGUGGUAGUGGUAGCAAUAAUCCUAUCGGAGAUCUGGAAGCUCAAGUAGAACAGCUUCGAACGGAGCUCCGUCACAGGAACAAGGUAUGGAUCGAGGAUGGUCAGCGAAUAAACGAGCUAAGAACUGACAUCCAACACUUGCAAGACCAACUUGCUGAACGAGAUUUAGCGCUCGAUUGGGCUGUUAACUCACGUUCACUUGCUUGGGCCAAGGAAGCCAAAGCUCGAGCCCGCGUGGAGGAGCUUAGCACAGUCGUGGACAACUUGCAGGUUUACUGUAAUACACUACAUGAGGAAGUUCAUGUAUUGUAUUCACAACUGCACCCUAACGUACCUGCGGAUCCUGUCGGGAUGGUAGCCGAACCUUUUGGAGCAGCGGGUGAAGCCCUUGGUGGGGAACUGGACCUUUUCAGGCCCCCUCCUUCAAUGAAUAUGGUUGACGAAUGGUCUCCUACACCCAACAGUGAAGCUACCAAAAGUGAUAAGAAGCUAGAGUAGUGUAGUAUAGAAAUAGUGUUAAUGUAUAAUAGGUAUUGUGGUCCUGUUGUAAAUUCGAGUCUGUAUCAUUACCUUUUAAAGUAAUGCAAAAUGGAUGGUUUGCUUUGGCAUAUUAUAUUUUCCAAAUGUUCUUUGCCUCAGAUGUCGUCCAGGACUCGUGGACAGGAUGGUGCGGGAACGUCCCGUGGGAGGGAAGCUACUCCUAACCCGCCACCAGUACCCCCAACCUUGGCUGAGGCUAUCGCUGCCUUAGUCAAUGCAACAGCCGACAACACCCGCUUUCUGCGGGAAAUGGCGGGACAACAAAUGCAACAGCAAGGCAGGCGAGCGUAUCCACAAGGACCCCGCGAAACUUCAUAUUUGGACUUCUCGGAGACACGUCCCCCAUUAUUUGUCAAGGCUGAAGAUCCUCUUGAAGCGGAUGAAUGGAUCCGGGUUAUCGAACAAAAGUUUGGGCUUCUCCGAUGCUCGGAGACUCAAAAGCCCUUAUUUGUGGCACAACAGUUGCGAGGCCCUGCCAGCACCUGGUGGGGAAAUUAUCUGGCUAUCUAGCCUGCUGGUCAUUAAAUUACCUGGGACGAAUUCAAACUGGCUUUCCGGGAGCACUAUAUUCCUGAAGGGGUGCUCCAUAUGAAACAGGAAGAAUUUAUGAAGCUCAAACAAGGUGGAGAUACUGUCACACAAUAUCUCAAUAAGUUCAACCACUUGUCCCAGUAUGCUAUUGAUCAAGUCAACACUGAUCUAAAGAAGAGAAAUUGCUUCAUGAGAGGCCUUAAUGACCGGCUGUAGCGAAAAAUGGCCACCUGCUUCGACCUAUCUUACAGCAGGGCUAUCAGCACGACACUGGCAGUCGAAGCCAAAUAUGCAGGCCUAGGAAAAUCAAAGGUCUAUGGAGGUGACAGGCCCAACCAGGGGUCUGAGAAGAGACAAAGGUUGGUGAUCCGACCUUUUAAUCAGAAUCGUUCUUUUCCACGUCCACCCUCCUACCCUUUCAAACAACCUGUCUUUAUCCGUCCUGCUGCUGCCCCCACCUCAACAAAUCAGCCGAGUGCCCCUGGUACUUGUUUCCCCGCCCUCCCAAGCUCCUCAACAGACUGCUUUAAUUGUGGAAAGUCCGGACAUUUUAUCAAGGACUGUCCAUACCCAAAGCAGAACAGAUCAAAUAAUCAACAGAGUUCAGAGAGUUCCACUCAAGGCAGGGGAAAUGCGGUGAAUAAUACAAUGGGCAAAAAUAUGAAGAAAACUGGGCGGAUUUAUUAUAUGCAAGUGGCCACGACACCGGAAGGAGAACCGGUUAUGAUGGCUACGUUUCUCGUGGCCAAUCACCCUGCAGUUAUUCUUUUUUAUUCUGGCGCUUCACAUACAUUCAUAAGCAAGAAGUUUGUGGAGCAACAUUGCAUUCCAUACAAUGAAUCAAGGGAAGGGUUUAUAAUUCAUUCGCCUGGGGGACAAAUAUUCACUAAAGAAGUGGCUUUCCAUGUGCCCGUAACAUUGGCUGAACGGGACUUUCCCACAAAUAUGAUUGUUCUAAAAGGCCAAGAUAUAGAUGUAAUUCUGGGCAUGAAUUGGUUAGCCCAACAUAAAGCUAUCCUCAACACUGAUCUGAGAACCAUCAGGUUGAGUUAUGGCCAAGAAGAGGUUCUCUUGUCCAUCCAUGUAUCUAUUCCAGCUAAACCAAUUGGCAGAGUAUAUGAAGCCAUCAUACCGGAGAUCCAAGAUAUUCCGGUAGUAUGUGAAUUCCUGGACGUCUUUCCAGAAGAUUUGCUUGGAUUGCCUCCAGAAAGAGAUGUAGAAUUUGUGAUUGAGUUGAAGCCCAGUACGACUCCUAUUUCUAGAAGGUCGUACCGAAUGCCUCCGAAUGAAUUGGCAGAACUCAAGACCCAAUUACAAGAUCUAUUAGAAAAGGGAUUCAUCCGACCAAGCUCAUCACCUUGGGGUUGUCCAGUCAUCUUUGUCAAGAAGGACCAAACACUUUGGAUGUGCAUGGAUUAUAGACCCCUUAAUGAGGUCACAAUCAAGAAUAAGUACCCUCUUCCCCGGAUUGACAUCCUAUUUGAUCAACUUACCGGAGCUUGGGUAUUUUCCAAAAUUGACCUCAGGUCGGGUUAUCAUCAGAUCCAUAUCCGACCCGAAGAUAUACCCAAGACCGCAUUCACUACACGGUACAAAUUAUUUAAAUAUUUGGUUAUGUCUUUCGGACUAACAAAUGCUCCUGCCCACUUCACAUAUCUUAUGAACUCGUUAUUCAUGCCCGAGUUGGAUAAAUUUGUGGUGGUAUUCAUUGAUGAUAUCUUGAUAUAUUCCAAGAAUGAAGAGGAGCAUGCUCGACAUUUACAGAUCAUAUUAACGUGCUUAAGGGAGCACCAAUUAUAUGCUAAGUUCAGUAAGUGCGCAUUCUGGCUGGAGGAGAUCCAAUUUCUGGGACAUGUAUUAUCUGCCAAGAGGAUUGCGGUGGAUCCCAGCAAAGUCAAGGAUAUUUUGGAGUGGAAACCCCCAACCACUGUACAUCAAGUCCAAAGUUUCCUUGGAUUGGCUGUUUAUUACCGCCGCUUUAUUCCAGAUUUUUCCAAGCUUGUGAAACCAAUCACAAGUUUAUUGAAGAAUGAUACUAAAUUUAAUUGGUCUUCAAGAUGUAAUGAAGCCUUUGAGCAGCUGAAAGUAUUAUUGACCACUGCUCCGGUAUUAGCUCAACCGGACAUUGAAAAACCCUUUGAUGUGUAUUGUGACGCAUCAGGCAGUGGUCUAGGCUGUGUUCUAAUGCAAGAAGGCCAAGUGAUAGCUUAUGCUUCAAGGCAGUUGUGCCAACAUGAGGAACAUUAUCCAACUCAUGACCUGGAGUUAGCUGCUGUGGUUCAUGCCCUAAAAAUAUGGCGUCAUUGUCUGAUAGGGAAUAUCUGUCAUAUUUACACAGAUCAUAAAAACUUGAAGUAUAUCUUUACCCACUCAGAGCUUAAUAUGAGACAGAGGAGAUGUCUUGAGCUUAUUAAGGAUUAUGAACUGGAGAUUCACUAUCACCCAGGCAAGGCUAAUGUAGUGGCAGAUGCGUUAAGUCGCAAAGCUUCCUGCCAUUGUCUGACGAUGAAGACUUCUGACAUUACGUUAUGCCAAGAAAUGGAGAAGUUGAACCUUGGAAUGAUUCAACAUGGAACUUCAAAUCACUUGAAGCUUGAGUCAGUCCUCCUGCAAAGAAUAAUCGACGCACAAAGAAAUGAUAAGGGUAUGGAACACAUUCAUGAGAAAAUAGAGGCCGGUAAAGCCAACUGCUUUAGAAGAGAUGAUCAAGGUGUUGUAUGCUUUAACAACCGCAUAGUUGUGCCCAAGAAUGAUGAAAUCCGCCAGCAAAUUUUAGAUGAAGCACAUCUUAGUCGCUAUUCUAUUCAUCCCGGAAGCACUAAGAUGUAUAAUGAUCUAAAACAACAUUAUUGGUGGACGAAGAUGAAGAUUGAAAUUGCACGCUAUGUGGCAAGAUGUGACACUUGUAGACGUGUCAAGGCCGUACACAUGAAAGCUACUGGUCCAUUACAAUCUUUACCUAUCCCUACAUGGAAAUGGGAGGAUAUAAGCAUGGACUUUAUUGUGGGAUUGCCCAGGACAGCAAAAGGGUAUGAUUCCAUCUGGGUUAUCAUUGAUCGACUUACAAAGAUUGCCCACUUCCUCCCAGUCAAAGUAAAGUAUCCAGUAAUCGCAUAUGCGGAACUGUACAUUGCUCGCAUCCUCAGUUUGCAUGGGGUUCCAAAGACUAUAGUGUCGGAUCAUGGACCUCAAUUCUUUUCCAAAUUCUGGGAAGAACUUCACAAAUCCUUGGGUACUAAAUUGCUCCACAGUUGGCCUAUCAUCCCCAAACUAGUGGUCGGACUGAAAGGGUAAAUCAGAUACUUGAAGACAUGUUGCGAGCAUGUGUUCUGGAGUUUCCGCAAAAAUGGGAUGACUGUUUACCAUUAGCGGAGUUCUCGUACAAUAAUAGCUAUCAAGAGAGUAUUAAAAUGGCACCCUUUGAAGCUUUGUAUGAGCGACAGUGUCGUACUCCGUUAAACUGGUCUGAACCAGGUGAGAGAUAUUUCUUCAGGACUGAUAUGGUAAAGGAGACAGAAGAGAAAGUUCAACGAAUAAUUCAUAAUUUGAAAGAAGCCCAAGCUCGUUAGAAGAGUUAUGCAGACAAGCGACGAAAACCCUUGUACUUUCUAGUUGGGGAUUAUGUCUACCUCAAAGUCUCACCGAUGAAGGGUAUAUCACGUUUCGGGGUAAAAGGGAAGCUUGCACCCUGGUACAUUGGUCCUUUUCCUGUUCUUGAACAAUGUGGACCAGUGGCAUACCGACUCCAGUUACCCGAAACAUUGUCUGCUGUGCAUAAUGUGUUCCACGUGUCUCAAUUGAAGAAGUGUCUUCGGGUUCCCGAUCGAACCAUUGAAGUAAUGGAUGUUGCCUUAGAACCAGACUUGACAUAUUCUGAACAUCCUAUUCGAGUCUUGGAUCAAAAGGACAGAAUUACCCGAAGGAAAACUCUCAAGUUUUACACGAUACAGUGGAACCAACACACGGAAGAUGAAGCUACUUGGGAAACUCAAGACUUUUUAGAUAAGAAUUUCCCAGACUUCUUAGCUUCGUGUAAAUUGUAAGAUAUGUACAUUUGUUGUAAUAAGAGGAAUGAACCCCAUAUCGCCCCUGUCUUGUACCAAAAAUAAGGAAAUAAAAUUAUGUCGCGUUUCCUUUUCCAUUACUUGCCCUAGACUUUUAAUCUCGGGACGAGAUUCUUUUAUGGGGGAAAGGAUGUAACACCCCUGGUGUUACUGCCACUAAAAAUUGAGCAUGACAUCAUAAGCAUUGGCAUAUCAUGUGUUUGUCACACCUAGAAUGCAUUCACUAGGCAAAAAUUUCAAACAAAGUUGUAUUGAUGUGACAUUUCAUGGGUGAAACCCUAGGAUACAGUGCAUAAUCCUAGAGUAGGCUUAAGGGAGUAAACAAAGCCUAAUAAGAGAAAACUUCAAAACUUAGUUGUAAUAAUCAUAAAAUAUCACCAUGAAUGGACUUAAGUAGCAUCCCAACCCUAGAAGUGCCAAAAACCCUAAAUAGGCCCCUGAAAAACCCUGGACUGAAACCCUAGGGGGUUAUCUAUAAAAGUGUGCAAAUUUUGGACCUAAGUGCAAAAAUUAUGGAAAUAGGUUAUCUUAAGUCAUAUGGUUCACAUAUUUGGAGAUUUGCAAAUGAAACCAUAAGUUUUGGGCUUAUUUGCAAAAAGGUCACAUUUGUGCUCCAAUGACUAAGUUUGAAUAUCAGUGAAUGGGGUCAACUUUGAAGCCUUGUGCCUUCAAAUUCAUAAGGAUUUUGCCUAGGGUCAGCACAUCAAAAUUGUAGAGCUAUGUAAGGAGAACAACUUUGCUAUAGGGAUUAAGCCUUGGUCACUUGAAAAAUUUGGAGUUAAAUGAGCCCAAAGUCGAGCUAUCAGACUGCCCUAAAUCUGAAUUCAGACUGACAGUGGGAUUGGAUGAACUUAGGGCUCAAUUUUAAACAAGAUCCUGUGACUUUUUGUGGGUGCACAAUGUAGCAAAGUUGGAGCUGGUUUAUUAGCCUAUAACUUUGCUACAGAGCAUUGACCUAGUUAUCAUACAAAAUUGGGAGGAAAUUCACCCCAAACACGGUCUGUCAGACUGACUGAUGAAGCUUCGCGAUGAUACAGUAACCGGAUUGGAUCGCCAGCUCAGAGACCUCGCCGCUGGCGACCACGCGCGCGGAUCCGUGCUAUCGCCGUGAUUCACGCUGAAUUAAACAUGGAUAACGAUCACAGGGUGAAAGAUCUCGCCUCGGAUAGGGCUAGAAUGUACUGUGUGCUUGAUGGUUCAUCAGUGCACACCGACGACGUGGCCGAGCGGCAAUCACCAGCAUGUUCACCGUUCACUGGGUGGACGCCACGCCUUAGGAGGAUUAUCGCGUCAGUAUGAGCCGAAGUGACCAUCCAAUGACCGCCUAGUUCAGUCGCUCUGCGGUUGCCACGAUAGAUCGCCGCCGUGACUCAUUCCCCUCUCGACCGCCAGCGCAAUUCGUCCAAAUUAAGCAACACCGCUCACGGACUCUAUAAAUUGAGCAUGCCAUGAGCUCUGUAGGGUAGUCAAGCACCAAGCCACCAAGCCGUGCCCUCAAUUGAUCACUAGAGCUCGACAAUUUCCCAUUUCCCCCAAACCUGCUUUCCGCCACCGUGAAAGAGGCCUCACCGUGGCCAUCUCGUCUCAGG